UACGGAGGAUCCAAGCGUUAUCCGGAAUCAUUGGGUUUAAAGGGUCCGUAGGUGGAAGAUUAAGUCAGAGGUGAAAUCCUGCAGCUCAACUGUAGAAUUGCCUUUGAUACUGGUUUUCUUGAGUUAUUAUGAAGUAGUUAGAAUAUGUAGUGUAGCGGUGAAAUGCAUAGAUAUUACAUAGAAUACCAAUUGCGAAGGCAGAUUACUAAUAAUAUACUGACACUGAUGGACGAAAGCGUGGGUAGCGAACGGG
rnacentral:rRNA from 1 species